UUUUUUACUCAAAUUCUUAGGUUAAGGAAAAAUUAUUGAUUUUUGAAGUGGGUGUUCAGGUUAUUUUGUGGAUUUCAAGAAGAUGAAUCUUUUGAUGGAUUUAUCAACACCAAGUUUCUGAGUGUUUGAAAAAAAUUAUGUUUUCCCAAAAACCUAAUUUUAGAUUGUAUAGACGAAUAGGAAUAACUUGUUCUACUAGGAGAAGAAGAUCUGUCGUCACGGGAUUUAUCUUCAUGCAAUCGUCGAGACUGACGUGUACAAGUGGGAGCCAGAGGAUUUGCCUAGUAUGAAUUUAUAGAUUCUGUUAGGAGAUUUUGAUGAGUUUUUUAUAUAGUAAACUUGAUUUGAUCACCUGGUUGCUGGUUCUUUAUUUCUGAUGUUGUGAUUUAUCGUGUUGCGGUAUUGGUAUUUUCUGAAUUAUUUUAUUUGUUG
rnacentral:lncRNA from 1 species